GUGCCAGCCGCCGCGGUAAUACGAAGGGGGCUAGCGUUGUUCGGAAUCACUGGGCGUAAAGGGCGCGUAGGCGGCUUUGUAAGUCGGGGGUGAAAGCCUGUGGCUCAACCACAGAAUUGCCUUCGAUACUGCAUGGCUUGAGACCGGAAGAGGUUAGUGGAACUGCGAGUGUAGAGGUGAAAUUCGUAGAUAUUCGCAAGAACACCAGUGGCGAAGGCGGCUGACUGGUCCGGUUCUGACGCUGAGGCGCGAAAGCGUGGGGAGCAAACAGGAUUAGAUACCCGAGUAGUCC
rnacentral:rRNA from 1 species